rnacentral:rRNA from 1 species
GGGCCCGCACAAGCGGUGGAGCAUGUGGUUUAAUUCGAUGAUACGCGAGGAACCUUACCAGGGCUUAAAUGCAGAGCGACAGAGGUGGAAACACCUCCUUCUUCGGACGGUCUGCAAGGUGCUGCAUGGUUGUCGUCAGCUCGUGCUGUGAAGUGUCGGGUUAAGUCCCAUAACGAGCGCAACCCCUAUUUCUAGUUGCCAGCGGUUCGGCCGGGGACUCUAGAGAAACUGCCAGCGUAAGCUGUGAGGAAGGUGGGGAUGACGUCAAAUCAUCACGGCCCUUACGUCCUGGGCCACACACGUGCUACAAUGGUAAGGACAGAGAGUUGCCAACCCGCGAGGGUGAGCUAAUCCCAUAAAGCCAGUCUCAGUUCGGAUUGGAGUCUGCAACUCGACUCCAUGAAGCUGGAGUU